rnacentral:lncRNA from 1 species
UCCUGGUCUCCAGACUGUCAGGUAGAUGAUUAUAACAGUAGUGUUGGUUUCCAGACUGUCAGGUAGAUGAUUAUAACAGUAGUGUUGGUCUCCAGACUGUCAGGAUGAUGAUUAUAACAGUAGUGCUGGUCUCCAGGCUGUCAGGUAGAUGAUUAUAACAGUAGUGUUGGUUUCCAGACUGUCAGGUAGAUGAUUAUAACAGUAGUGUUGGUUUCCAGGCUGUCAGGUAGAUGAUUAUAACAGUAGUGUUGGUCCUGGUCUCCAGACUGUCAGGUAGAUGAUUAUAACAGAAAUGUUGGUCUCCAGGCUGUCAGGUAGAUGAUUAUAACAGUAGUGUUGGUCUCCAGACUGUCAGGUAGAUGAUUAUAACAGUAGUGUUGGUCCUGGUCUCCAGGCUGUCAGGUAGAUGAUUAU